rnacentral:rRNA from 1 species
CAGUAGCCGCGGGAAUACGUAGGGUGCGAGCGUUAAUCGGAAUCACUGGGCUUAAAGCGCGUGUAGGCGGAUUGGUGCGUCGGUGCCUGAAAUCCCCCGGCUCAACCGGGGAACGCGGCCCGAAACGACCAGUCUGGAGGGACGUAGGGGGAACUGGAACUUCCGGUGAAGCGGUGAAAUGCGUUGAGAUCGGAAGGAACGCCCGUGGCGAAAGCGAGUUCCUGGACGUCUGCUGACGCUGAGACGCGAAAGCUAGGGGAGCGAACGGGAUUAGAUACCCCGGUAGUCCCUGUCUCUUAUA